rnacentral:rRNA from 2 species
GCUGGCGGCGUGCCUAAUACAUGCAAGUCGAACGAGUUCUCGUUGAUGAUCGGUGCUUGCACCGAGAUUCAACAUGGAACGAGUGGCGGACGGGUGAGUAACACGUGGGUAACCUGCCCUUAAGUGGGGGAUAACAUUUGGAAACAGAUGCUAAUACCGCAUAGAUCCAAGAACCGCAUGGUUCUUGGCUGAAAGAUGGCGUAAGCUAUCGCUUUUGGAUGGACCCGCGGCGUAUUAGCUAGUUGGUGAGGUAAUGGCUCACCAAGGCGAUGAUACGUAGCCGAACUGAGAGGUUGAUCGGCCACAUUGGGACUGAGACACGGCCCAAACUCCUACGGGAGGCAGCAGUAGGGAAUCUUCCACAAUGGACGCAAGUCUGAUGGAGCAACGCCGCGUGAGUGAAGAAGGCUUUCGGGUCGUAAAACUCUGUUGUUGGAGAAGAAUGGUCGGCAGAGUAACUGUUGUCGGCGUGACGGUAUCCAACCAGAAAGCCACGGCUAACUACGUGCCAGCAGCCGCGGUAAUACGUAGGUGGCAAGCGUUAUCCGGAUUUAUUGGGCGUAAAGCGAGCGCAGGCGGUUUUUUAAGUCUGAUGUGAAAGCCCUCGGCUUAACCGAGGAAGCGCAUCGGAAACUGGGAAACUUGAGUGCAGAAGAGGACAGUGGAA